rnacentral:rRNA from 1 species
GAGAUUUAGCCAUGCGAGUUAACGUAGCAAUACGUGGCGCACGGCUCAGUAACACGUAGUCAACAUGCCCAGAGGACGUGGAUAACCUCGGGAAACUGAGUCUAAACCGCGAUAAGUGAGGAUUUCUGGAAUGGUUCCUGACUAAAAUCUAUAUGGCCUCUGGAUUGGACUGCGGCCGAUCAGGCUGUUGGUGAGGUAAUGGCCCACCAAACCUGUAACCGGUACGGGCUCUGAGAGGAGGAGCCCGGAGAUGGGCACUGAGACAAGGGCCCAGGCCCUAUGGGGCGCAGCAGGCGCGAAACCUCUGCAAUAGGCGAAAGCCUGACAGGGUUACUCUGAGUGACUUUCGCUAAGAAAGUCUUUUGGCACCUCUAAAAAUGGUGCAGAAUAAGGGGUGGGCAAGUCUGGUGUCAGCC